AGAGUUUGAUCCUGGCUCAGAUUGAACUCUGGCGGCAGGCCUAACACAUGCAAGUCGAACGGUAACAGGAAGAAGCUUGCUUCUUUGCUGACGAGUGGCGGACGGGUGAGUAAUGUCUGGGAAACUGCCUGAUGGAGGGGGAUAACUACUGGAAACGGUAGCUAAUACCGCAUAACGUCGCAAGACCAAAGAGGGGGACCUUCGGGCCUCUUGCCAUCGGAUGUGCCCAGAUGGGAUUAGCUAGUAGGUGGGGUAACGGCUCACCUAGGCGACGAUCCCUAGCUGGUCUGAGAGGAUGACCAGCCACACUGGAACUGAGACACGGUCCAGACUCCUACGGGAGGCAGCAGUGGGGAAUAUUGCACAAUGGGCGCAAGCCUGAUGCAGCCAUGCCGCGUGUAUGAAGAAGGCCUUCGGGUUGUAAAGUACUUUCAGCGGGGAGGAAGGGAGUAAAGUUAAUACCUUUGCUCAUUGACGUUACCCGCAGAAGAAGCACCGGCUAACUCCGUGCCAGCAGCCGCGGUAAUACGGAGGGUGCAAGCGUUAAUCGGAAUUACUGGGCGUAAAGCGCACGCAGGCGGUUUGUUAAGUCAGAUGUGAAAUCCCCGGGCUCAACCUGGGAACUGCAUCUGAUACUGGCAAGCUUGAGUCUCGUAGAGGGGGGUAGAAUUCCAGGUGUAGCGGUGAAAUGCGUAGAGAUCUGGAGGAAUACCGGUGGCGAAGGCGGCCCCCUGGACGAAGACUGACGCUCAGGUGCGAAAGCGUGGGGAGCAAACAGGAUUAGAUACCCUGGUAGUCCACGCCGUAAACGAUGUCGACUUGGAGGUUGUGCCCUUGAGGCGUGGCUUCCGGAGCUAACGCGUUAAGUCGACCGCCUGGGGAGUACGGCCGCAAGGUUGAAACUCAAAUGAAUUGACGGGGGCCCGCACAAGCGGUGGAGCAUGUGGUUUAAUUCGAUGCAACGCGAAGAACCUUACCUGGUCUUGACAUCCACGGAAGUUUUCAGAGAUGAGAAUGUGCCUUCGGGAACCGUGAGACAGGUGCUGCAUGGCUGUCGUCAGCUCGUGUUGUGAAAUGUUGGGUUAAGUCCCGCAACGAGCGCAACCCUUAUCCUUUGUUGCCAGCGGUCCGGCCGGGAACUCAAAGGAGACUGCCAGUGAUAAACUGGAGGAAGGUGGGGAUGACGUCAAGUCAUUAUGGCCCUUACGACCAGGGCUACACACGUGCUACAAUGGCGCAUACAAAGAGAAGCGACCUCGCGAGAGCAAGCGGACCUCAUAAAGUGCGUCGUAGUCCGGAUUGGAGUCUGCAACUCGACUCCAUGAAGUCGGAAUCGCUAGUAAUCGUGGAUCAGAAUGCCACGGUGAAUACGUUCCCGGGCCUUGCACUCACCGCCCGUCA
rnacentral:rRNA from 1 species